rnacentral:rRNA from 1 species
UUUGAUGGCGACCGGCGCACGGGUGAGUAACACGUAUCCAACCUGCCGAUGACUCGGGGAUAGCCUUCCGAAAGAAAGAUUAAUACCCGAUGGCAUAGUUCUUCCGCAUGGUAGAACUAUUAAAGAAUUUCGGUCAUCGAUGGGGAUGCGUUCCAUUAGCUUGUUGGCGGGGUAACGGCCCACCAAGGCAUCGAUGGAUAGGGGUUCUGAGAGGAAGGUCCCCCACAUUGGAACUGAGACACGGUCCAAACUCCUACGGAAGGCAGCAG